ACAGUGCUUGCUAGGGAAUCGCCUCCCCAAAGGAUUCCAUAAAUGACUCUGUUAGUAUGAUGACAAAGGGAAGAACGGUUCAGACAGAUGAAUGCAAUGCCUUCCAAUGUGUGAGGAAGGGCUUGCGAGAUGACACAACUCCCGGAUGAGGACCAGUGCCAAAGGGAAGCGGAAGGAAGAGAAGCCCAGGAAAGUGAGUGGCUGGCCCAGGGCCACUGUGAGAGGGAGUUUGUUAAGGCUCUCCUGAAACCUCCAGAAGACACUUUUAGCAACUUGACAAAGAGGAGGAGACUGAAGACCAGAAAAUUGACUUUCAUUACUCAAAGAUGCAGUGCUGGGAAGCGACACAGCCAGCAUCCAGAUUUGAGCCAUUCUGCAAAGCAGGGGACUUUUCCCUCUGGGUUCUCUGGAUUUCCAGGCCCUGAGAAGAAGGAUUUGGGCAGAAAUGAGAGAAAGAUGCCUUUGGAGCCAUUGAAAGUGGGAUGUAGCUGUUUUUCUGUUCAUCAAUAGAGGAGUCUGCUGAAUUUAUCAGGUCAUCAUGGAUACACGUAAGGGCAGACCCACACCAACUUGAAAACAGUGAUGGAGAGAGAUUCUGUACAUUAACAGAACCUCUCAGGCUGCACUUCAUUCUGAUAUAGUGACAUCUGGCCAACAUUCUUAGAUGAAAUUUUCAAUAAGUGCUGGCAACUAACACAAUUCAUUAUGCUUUCUCCUGAUAAAGGAUGUGGGCAAGAAUUGCUUUGGCUCUAAAAAAGCUUUCACUUCAUUAUGGGCCUGGAUCAAUCACCAUCCACAGAAGAUACACGCCGGCGACUUCUUUGCACUUGUUAUGCACUUUGUCUUUGGGGCCUGUGAAGAUACUAAGAAACUGUUCUUAUUAGGCAGGCAUUAUUGUUAGCCUCCUCUAAGCUAAAUGCGCUUUUAAGUGUAUUUCUUUGGUAAAGAGAUGAAACCACUGUCUGAACUGAGACUGGCGUGAGGUCACCUGCUUAUCCCCAUUAAAGGAAUGCCAUUUAGAAGAUGUUUUAUUUGUACUUCUGCACAGAAAGAAGUGAUAACAUAUAUUUUCCAUUAAACUGAGAAAGGGAAGUCAGAUUACUCAAUGAUCAUUAUGCAUUAUGCGAUAAGUGGAGAGGUUAAACCUCACGUCCAGUGACUCCUUCCUUCUCUCUCCAUCUUCCCACUAUGUAAGGAAAAUUUAAACACUGCUCUAGGUUAGAGCUGUGGUUUAGAACUAAAGCUGGAGAAGCCUCAGCUAACUGCUUCAUUGUUUUUCACAUCUUCAUUGAUUUUAUGUUCGUAUUUUAGGGAUGAGACAGGAAAAGAAUUAGAGAAAAUAAAAACCUUCCUGAAAACAGGUCUUCUGACAUUGAAAUGAGUUUUAAUAACUGUCUCACCAAAGACGACCUGAUGUAUAAGCAUUAUUUUUCAUUGUACACUUGUGGUUUCUGAGUACUCCACAAUAUAUUGUAGCAGAUUCCUUUGGACAAGCUGUAUUUAAUUUUUUACUGCUUGCCUCUCUCCUUGGCCCUCUAGAAAAAAAAAUGCAGAAUCUUAUGUUACCCAUAGAAUCAAUUAAUUCCUUUGGUCAGAUUUUCUUUACCCUCAAAGAAAAAUUCAAAAGGUUGCCCACCAUUCCGUAGGUAGUUUAUUCUGAAUGUGUCUAAAGAAAAACAUAUAAAUUAAAAUAUAUGAGUAUGUACAAUGGUUCUUACUUAUUAAAGAACUAUAAAUUAUUGCAAAUGAAAUAAGAAUUUGAGAAUAAAUGAGCAUGCUGCAAUGAUGGAGAAUAACAACUAAAAUAUUCCAAAAUAGAGCUUGCAAACCACCCAAAAUAACCAACAUGUGAUUUUGUUCUUCUACAUCUCCAUCAACAAACUAAGAGAGGCAGUGUGCAAUCCAAUGUCAAGCUGCUUAGUAUUUCACCAAUGCUAAGGCAUAAAAGUAUUAUUGGAUACCUUUAUCCUUAUUGGGUAAGGAAGUGAAUAAUUGGCUAGAAAAAAAAACAGCUGGAAAAUUUUUUUCAAAGAAAAGAAUUUUCAACUCUCCCAUACUAUCAUAUUGGUGGUGUAUAAAAGUCUUAUCAGAAAAUAUAUUUUGAUAAAUUUAUAGGCUUCUCUAUGGCCCCUAAAUGGAAUAGGAUUUUGUCUCCAUGUCUGAUAUAAAUCAAUACCAAAUUCAUUGUUCCUAUGAAACAUCAAUUGACACCACUAAUAAAAUACAUCUGAAGUUUUUAAAUGGCAAAGGAAAAGAAGAAAGUAGGUCAGGGAGCUGGCACAUUUGUACUAAUUAAGGUAGCAUCAGUUGCUAUAACAAGUGAACCCCAAGGUACUUUAAUGGCUCAAAAGUGCAGGGGCAGUUCCAGGUUGCCCAGGUGCUUUGCUCUGCACAGGCAGUCAGGACCCAGGCUCAGAGGCUCUGCCAUCAUCAGUUUGAGGAUUAAGAUUGUCUGGGGAAUCAAUACCCAGCAGGUGGAUGGCAAAAGGCUAUGCAUGGUCCAGACCUGGAAGUGGUCUGGACUUUACCCCGCCUCACAUUCUGUUGACUAAGAACUCAGCCACAUGGUCACAGCUAAUUGUAAGUGAGGAUGAGAGUGGAGAUCCAGAUGUAUGUUGGAGAAGAAGAAGGAAAGAGUCACCUAUUGUCAGCAAAAACACUGUGCUGUAUUCACGAGUGCUUGGGAAUACAAAAUGGAAAUUUAUUCAUCUGGAUGCUACAGAAAUUUCCACAAAACCACUUCAUGAGAUAGAAUCUUGAAGGAUAAAACUUCUAAGUUGGGACAAAAAGGUGGAAUUUUGCAUAAUAAAGCGUCCAUUAAGCAGAAUUUGAGUUUAAUGACUGGCCACCAGCCUUCUUCCUAUUCUUCUUUCAUCUCUCCCCUUCCUAUCUGCUUCUCUUCAGAAAAGCACAAAUUAUAUCACAAGCUAUAAAUACUUCAGCCAAUGUUUAGGCAUUUUUAGCAGUGGUAUUUAUGCUUUUAAAACAUUUACUUAUCCUUACAUAAUAAGAUGAGGGCCCUUGUUAAAAACUGAAAUAUUACACAGAACCUCGUUUGCAAACCAUGCAAAUCUGAGUUGUUUUGACUGAAGUAACUUCAAGGAGGCAAAGUCACUGCCAUUCAACCCGCCUGUAUCCCUUCUCCUGCCCCAUGUCAGACCUUAAAGAGUCUCUAAGACACAGGGUGAGAUCAGCUGUUCUAUUUCCAUACUACUGACAGUCAAAUGCCAACGGCCAGUUUUUGUGUACCUACUCCAUAUUUCAGGUGAUCCUAUGUCUCCAGGUUCUUUCGCAUGUUUGGUCAUUCCUUAGGUGAUGUUAAAUAAAAAAAAGUGGUCAAGCAUUUGUCCACCUCAACUUCAUCUCUGGUUUGCUAAACAAGAUUUCCUAAGAGUUUCAGACAGAAUCUCCUUUCCAGUGUGGUUGAAUCUAAUACAUUCUUCAGUGGUCUUUUCCACUGAUGGGCUUUUCUAUUUCUACUUCUUGGUUCUGAGUCAAUCCAGUGGGUGAUUCAGCUUCCCCACCACUGUCCUUAUCUUUAGCUGCACAGGAGACAGAGUGGGAGCAGGCUCUCAGGAAGGAGAGGGUCCUUCUGGGAGAGGAUGGCAUGUUUUCUUAGAGCACAAUGGAGAGAUGUUCAUUUUUCCCGUUGCUUGUCCCUGUCCUGAGGUGGGGCCAAGUCACCGCCAGGCACUGCUUGGAGCCCAGUUUCCUUGCCAUUUCUCUGAGAUCUCUCCCCUUCUCCUCUCCUUUUCCUGGUCUUAUGGACCCCUGUCUCCUUCUCUUCAGAGUGCAUCCUGUGGAAAGUCAAGUUUUUUCUUUUCUUUUUCCCCCCACAGGGUUUUGUUGGUCUCAUUCCAGUAUGUUCUGCUGAUACCAAGGAAACUAUUUGUAUAUACAUAAAAUAACUUGUCAAGGCUUCUGUUGGCUAAAAAGCACAACUUUUUAUGUAAAGAAUUUUUUCCAACAGGUUUUAAACACCCAUUUUAACUCCUUUCUACUGGCUAAAUCCUGCCCUUCUCCUCCUGACCUUGUACAAAAGGAAGCCUUUACAUGUGGACUCAUGGGUUCUUUCCUUUUAGAACUCAAGAUUAAAAAAAAAAGGUUUGGAAUGAAUGCACAGAGGGACCCGUAUACAGAGACAAAGACACUGCAUGGAGGUUGAUCAUAAUGUUCCUCCCUGGAACCCAACAGCAGAGAAAGCAAAUGUCCCAUCACCUGCACCUCAGCCAUUUGUCUCCUUCCCAUGAGUAGACUAUCUUAGGUUUUUAACUGUGUUCGAAGCAUUGUGUUCUUUGAAAAAAUAAUGUAUUAUGGCCAAUAGUGGCUCCUCAAAUAUGUUAAGCAGGAAACUUGACCAGACUGUUUAAAAAGAAAACCACAUCUGAGGUAUGACACUUGCGUUUUUGCGAUCUCACCACAUGCACGUUUCUGCCCCUGUUACUGCUCUCCAUCUGAUUUCCAUAAUGCACGUGCAUCCUGCACAUGCUUAUUAGGACAGAUUGCUGAGUUAACUUAGCAUGGCUUUCCUGCAUUUAUAUUUUCUCCCAAUUUAAAGUUUUAGGAGACACCAAGGCAAUUUUGACAGUUACCUAAUAAAGCUGAAAUCCUGCCUGCGGUUGGAGCGUCCUGGGACCCCGGUUGCCUUGGGCUCUGUGAACGCAGGCUGUACGCCGGUGCUGCACUGAUCAGAACGAGUUUGCCUGCGGUGAGCCCUGGGCAUGCUCUGGGCGGUGGACGCCAGGGGAGCCAGGGACGGUGUAAUCAUCCCGAGGGCCGCUCAGAUAUCGAUGCUCGUGACACCAGCCAGGAACCUCUCUGGAGGCGUGUGCUGCAGCUGGGAAGUCAAGCAAGCCUGAGUGUGACCGGCUGCAACUUCAGUUUUUCUCCAUGUAAAAAAAACCAGGGCAGGGGUCACAGCUGAGGGAUGGACAAGCUUGGCUCUCUGGGGUGCCUGGGAAGAUGGGCGAACAUUCAGGAAACCUGCUGAUAUUUCCAUAAAGGGCCUCCUUUAGUUUUAAAUAUAUACCAUUGGGUUAGUAGGAAAAGGAAAUCUGCUGCGCUGCAGACAGGGAACCUUCACACUCUGAAUUCGCUGGACAGUACGCACCGGUGGGGCAUGGAUGGGGGAAAGGGAGUGACAGGGAGCAGCCUGCUCCAGCGCCAGGCAGGGGUCACUUCAACCCACCCGUGGGACCUCAGGGCACGCGCCUUCUAAGAACGCUCCAACUUCCUUUCCUCGGAUUUGUACUGGGCUGAAAUGCGUCUUCCUAUUUGUGGCCCCUUCAUUAUUUAAGUCGCUGUCUUGUGGUCAACCCUCGCGUGGUGGUGUCUUCGGAGAUGGGGAGCCCAGAGCAAAGGACAGUGUUCCAGAUUUUGAGGGGAAAAGUCACAUCAUAGUGGGAUGGUCACGUUUCCUUUGGUGGCAUUGCAAUCUACCUACAACUCAAGGUCACCUUAGCUAUUUUGGCAGUUAUGUGUAGUUAUGUCAGUGUGGGUGAUUUUUUUUUUUUAAAUAAAGACUGCUUUUAAAUUGAAUAGUUGAUUGUCAAAGGAUACUCAUUGUUGAUAUUUAUUCUCGUCAAGUUAUACACUCUUAGCUACAACCUGCUUUAGAACCCAACACAAAGUUUAUAAAUUUAUUGUUAAAUGGACCCAUCUUUUAAGAUGUAUCAUCAAUACAUUCAAUAAAGAUGUCUGCACAUUUUCUAAAAAUACCUUCUAUGAUAAUUAAAUCACUGAUUGAAGUUGGACAGGGCAGGGUGGAGUGUUUCAACUAGCUUUCUACAUUGAGCUGAUAUCAAUUUAUUAAUAUCGUUUGGAUUUUGUUCACACAGCUAUUAAUCGCUUGAAUUCCGCUAUCAUCCAACCUCCAUGUCUCCUAAGGAAUCAUGGGGAAAUUUGUUAUUUGUUUCCCCUGAAAUUUGUAUUUACUUGUGUAGGUUAUUCAUCUUUGCUAAUGUAGGGAUCCUGUUGCAAAGAAAAUGAAGUUGGCAUGGUCUGUUCUCAGAGGAACCAUGGAGCGGCUAGUAAUUGCUUUUAUCUAAAAAAUGUCUGUAAUAUAUAAAUUAAAAGUUCUGCUCUCAAAUUUUGCCAGAGGUGGAUAUGAAGUUAUCAGAGCAUUUGGAGAUGGCAGGGACAGGGGCAUUGAGAAACGGCCAUGAGACUUUGCAUGUACAUAAAGGACUCCAUUCUAAUUCUCACUGUAGGUAAGACUGCCAUUUACCUUGUCUUGGUUGGUGGCUCUGGAAGGAGAUCAGAUCCUGUCGGGGCAGAACAAGAGACAGAGCAGGCGGUGCUCAAAGGCUGACAGAAUGCUGUGUGCUGUACUUCCCAGAAUCCACUUUAUCUCACUUAUGAAAAUUGAAUAAAUUUUUGACUCUCAGUUUUUCUGAAUCCUCUCUCAUUGUCUAGACAGUUGCCCCUAGCCAUUCUGCAAUCGCCCGUGGAUACCCCUUCCCCACCCUUGUGUGUAUUUCACCUGCACUUGGAGACUUGAAGGUAAUUUAAAGCAACCCAGCUUUUUCUUAGCAAGUCGUUGUUUAAUUUGUAAUCUAGUCCCCUGGUGGCCAAGCAUGUUCUAUCAUUUCUAAUGCAAGUGUCGCUCUCCUUAUUAAAGAAAUGGAAGUAAAAUAGA